rnacentral:rRNA from 1 species
UACGGAGGAUCCGAGCGUUAUCCGGAUUUAUUGGGUUUAAAGGGUGCGCAGGCGGAAGAUUAAGUCGGUGGUGAAAUUUUGCAGCUCAACUGUAAAAGUGCCAUUGAUACUGGUUUUCUUGAGUGUGGAUGAAGUAGGCGGAAUUUGUGGUGUAGCGGUGAAAUGCAUAGAUAUCACGAGGAACUCCGAUUGCGCAGGCAGCUUACUAAACCAUAACUGACGCUCAGUCACGAAAGCGUGGGGAGCAAACAGGAUUAGAUACCCCCGUA